rnacentral:rRNA from 1 species
UACGUAGGGUGCAAGCGUUGUCCGGAAUUAUUGGGCGUAAAGAGCUCGUAGGCGGUCUGUCGCGUCGGCUGUGAAAACUCGGGGCUCAACUCCGAGCUUGCAGUCGAUACGGGCAGGCUAGAGGUCGGCAGGGGAGACUGGAAUUCCUGGUGUAGCGGUGAAAUGCGCAGAUAUCAGGAGGAACACCGGUGGCGAAGGCGGGUCUCUGGGCCGAUACUGACGCUGAGGAGCGAAAGCGUGGGGAGCGAACAGG